AGGAUGUUAGCUUAAGUUUAAAGUGCCAGACUUUUAAUCUGGUGAUGAAAUUUCACAUCUUA
rnacentral:tRNA from 1 species